rnacentral:rRNA from 1 species
CAGUCGCCGCGGGAAUACGAAGGGGGCUAGCGUUGUUCGGAAUUACUGGGCGUAAAGGGCGCGUAGGCGGCCAUUCAAGUUAGAUGUGAAAGCCCUGGGCUCAACCUAGGAAUUGCAUUUGAUACUGUUUGGCUUGAGUUCGGGAGAGGUGAGUGGAAUUCCCAGUGUAGAGGUGAAAUCCGUAGAUAUUGGGAAGAACACCAGUGGCGAAGGCGGCUCACUGGACCGACACUGACGCUGAGGCGCGAAAGCGUGGGGAGCAAACAGGAUUAGAUACCCCCGUAGUCCCUGUCUCUUAUAC